rnacentral:tRNA from 1 species
AGCGGGGUAGAGGAGUAGUACCUCGCCAGCCCCAUAAGCUGGAGAACGUGGGUGCAAUUCCCACCCCCGCAACCA